CUCAUCAUCAGCCUGCAAAUUUUCUAAUAAAUACAUAAACCAGUAAUAGGGUAACAUGUAUUAUGAUUAUAUUUGUAUGUUUUAUACAUUCAAACUGCCAUUUAGCAACUGGUUGAGAAAAAAUGAUUUUUUUCGAAGUUAAAAAUGAAGGAAGAUUCUUUGUAGAGCUAACUGAAUGGAAAUGGCACCAUAAAUUUGAUUCCAGCUCUCUUGAAAAGAAAUUCCACAUUUAUGUGCUUCUGUAAUUAGUUCCAAUACUCCCUCACACAUGUGAUCCUGAUAUACCUACCUUCAACUCAGUUACUUUCAUUGAAAAUAAAUAAAAACUAUUCCAACACCAAUUUUCUUCAUAUGUAAAUCAGAAGGUCAAGAACAGAAAUUUUAGUGGCUUCAUAUUUCUAGAGGUUGUUUGAAUGUCAUGUUAAAAGAUUAUAUGACUUUAGUACUUUCAAAUCUGUGUCACCCAAUGUGACUAUAUAAGUAAAUAAUCCCUACAACAACAACUACAACAACAACAACAAUACAACAAAAAAGAACAGCAAGUAAUAAUUUCAGUAUAAUCGGGCUAGGCAAGGUUAGGUACAAUCUAACAUAUCUACUUGCAAUUUGUGAAAUUAUUUUACUUUAGACAAUGAGAUUUUGAUCUCAAAAUCAGUUUAAAUUUAGCGGGAAUUUUUUUCUUCUUUU
rnacentral:lncRNA from 1 species